GCCUAAAGCGUCCGUAGCCUGUUCUAUAAGUUUCCGGUUAAAUCCAUUAGCUCAACUAAUGGGCCGCCGAAAAUACUGUAGAACUAGGGAGUGGGAGAGGUAGACGGUAUUCGGUAGGAAGGGGUAAAAUCCUUUGAUCUAUUGAGGACCACCUGUGGCGAAGGCGGUCUACCAGAACACGUUCGACGGUGAGGGAUGAAAGCUGGGGGAGCAAACCGGAUUAGAUACCCGGGUAGUCCCAGCUGUAAACGAUGCAGACUCGGUGAUGCGCUGGCUUGUGGCCAGUGCAGUGCCGCAGGGAAGCCGUUAAGUUUGCCGCCUGGGAAGUACGUACGCAAGUAUGAAACUUAAAGGAAUUGGCGGGGGAGCGCCACAAGGGGUGAAGCCUGCGGUUCAAUUGGAGUCAACGCCAGAAAUCUUACCCGGAGAGACAGCAGAAUGAAGGUCAAGCUGAAGACUUUACCAGACAAGCUGAGAGGUGGUGCAUGGCCGUCGCCAGCUCGUGCCGUGAGAUGUCCUGUUAAGUCAGGUAACGAGCGAGAUCCUUGCCUCUAGUUGCCACCAUUACUCUCAGGAGUAGUGGGGCGAAUUAGCGGGACCGCCGUAGUUAAUACGGAGGAAGGAAGGGGCCACGGCAGGUCAGUAUGCCCCGAA
rnacentral:rRNA from 1 species